ACACUCUCCUCAUCGACUAUCAGUUCACCUUCAGCCUUUCCCAAGAAGAUGAUCGCCAUUACACAGCUAUCAAUUUUGUGGCCACGCCUGACGAGCAAAACAGAGAGCUGGAC